rnacentral:misc_RNA from 1 species
CAGAAUAAUAGGAGAGGGAGAGGGCGUGUGAUUAUCCAAGGAAGCGUUAUGCAACAACAGAUCAUCGCUUUAUGUACAACGUGGAAGAAAACAAAAUUCUACUUACUGUCUAGAUCUGCAAGAAUUGCUUCGCUAGCCACAUCUAGACUCCUUGAAAGACAUUUGCGUAGUUGAAUCGUUGUGCUACUAUGAUAAUCGUUUAAGUCUUGUAAGGCAGUUUCAACUACAAUUGGAAAUUGUUCCACGCUUGCAGAUACUGUCUCAUUACAUACGAUCAUUGUAAUCAUGCCCAAUCUAAAAUUUGUUAUACCUGUUGCAGAACAACUUGUAUCUAAAAAUUUCACCAUCAGUAUUUGUAACAAUGCUUACCCGAGUACACAAACGAAAAAUGCCAGGAAAAAUGUAAGCGCGCCAGGAUGUUGACUCGGUUUGUAAUCUUCCCUUAUUGGACGACAUGCAAGCCAAAGUUCAAUUCCAGGUAUUACACAGCACAAAAUGCAGCACAUACCAAGCACUGCCAGCAAUGCUGUUUCCAGAUGUAUUGACUAUUAACAAUUAAACCAAAUUAAUGAGAAAGUUUCAUUAUAUACUUUGAUAAAAUGCGUCAUGUACAAAGCAUAGAAAAAUUUGUCUUACCUCCGAAAUCAAUCUUGACGUACUUAAUCGGUUUUCUAUCGCAUCUGUUAAUAAAUCUAUAGGUCCAUGAACUAGAACAUCGGCUACCAUUUCUCUUCCAUCACGUUGUGUUUCACUUGGUGUGUGAAAAAUGAUAAAGCUGUCUGUAGUAGUGUAAUUGUCGCUAUUUGAGAAUGAAUUCGCUUCAACUAUACCAUUAAACUGACCCAGAGCUUCCGAGGCAAAAAAUAGUAGAAAUAUUCCUAAAAUAUUUAGAAAGAUUUAUUCAUUGAUAGUCAGAAAGCGUAUAUAUAAAAUCAAAGCAC